rnacentral:lncRNA from 1 species
UAGCAGUUUGAAACCAGACUGGCCAACAUGGUGAAACCCUGUCUCUACUAAAAAUACAAAAAAAAAAUUAGCCAGGCGUGGUGGUACAUGCCUGUAAUCCCAGCUACUCGGGAGGCUGAGGCAGGAGAAUCGGUUGAGCCUGGGAGGUGGAGGUUGCAGUGAGCUGAGACCACCCCAGAGCACUCCAGCCUGGAUGGCGACAGAGCAAGACUCCGUCUAAAACAGAAAAAAAAAAAAAAAAAAAAAAGCUUAAUAGUUAAUUUAUCCAUUAAACUUAAAUUAUCAACUAAGGACACUAUAAGUGCUUUUCAUAUGGCUGCACAAGAUAUUGCAACUGAUACCAAGGUGAGUAAAGCAGCAGUCCCUACCUUCGAAGGGUUAGUUGCCUGUUUAGAAAUUUUUAUUAUGGUUUUAAAGUGAGGAUAAGCUGCAGAAAGGCAUUUUAAGUACAAAAAUAAUUGUAGGUCACACAGGAAUCUAAUUUAUAAAAGAAAAGGGAGCAUCUGGAGGAUUCAGAAGAGGGAAAGCAGACACCUGGUUGGAUGGAGUAAGAAAAGACUAUAAAUGGGAAGGAUUUCUGAAAAGACUUAAGACUUGAAGGAUGGCAUGUGUUUUGUCAAAAGAAAACAGAAAUGAGGGAAGUUGUAUGUAAAAGAACAGCAUAACCAAGAGCAUUCAUGUCAUCAUUAUCAUCAUCAUAACUGACAUUUACUGAAUACUUAAUUUGUAUGAGGCUUUGUGCUAAAUCUUUAACGUGUUAAAUCCUGUAAUCUUCAUAAUCACACUACAAAGUCAAGUCUAUUAUUAUUCCCAGUUUACAGAAGAGAAAACUGAUACUCUGGUUAAUUGCCCAGGGCCAUAUAGCUAAAAGCAGUGCAAUCUGAAAUUGACCAAGAUUCAGGUAACCAUGAGAAAUCUAGUGUGAAUAGAACAUUUAGCAUACACAUCAAUAAAUAAAAAGACUAAGUCUAGAAAUGCAGAUCAGGAUUUCCCAAGGCUCCAUAUGCUGGAUUAAAGGUUUCAUGCUUAGUUGACAGGCAAUGGGCAGCCAUUGCAGGGUUAUGAGCAGGUUUUUACGUUACCCAAUCUGUCAACACAUGGAGUGGAGACAUCAUGGAGGGGAGAGGUCUAGGGAUACAGUGAGACCAAGAAGUCCUCUCAAGUUUUUCAGGUAAGAAGCAAACUUAGAGUGAAAUUUUUGUUAAUGAAAUGAGGUAAGAGAUAGGAGAAACACAAAAGGUCAAAUCUACAGAACUCGUCAACUAAUGGAUUGAGUGCUGGAAGUGUUACAGAAAAUAAGAAGUCUGCAACAACUUGGAGAGCUGGGGUCUUGCCGCUGAACUGAUGGUUUCAUAAACAGAAAUUUGUAAGUUAAGAUUGUUGAAAAGAAGAUAAUGCCUAUGCAGUGCUCUUUUUGCUGCUCUUCCUCUUUGCUCUUCCUCUUCCUCCUCCUCAUCAUCAUCAUCACCAUUACCAUAGUCACAGUUUACAAGUAGAUGGCAUUUCAUCUAUGCCAGGCAUCAUUCCAAGCCUUUUACACAUAGUAACUAACACUAAAUGAAAGCCCAUAAGGUACAUACUAAUAAUAUUGUCAUUUUAUAAAUGAGAAAAUAUUUAGAGAUAGAGGUUAAGUGACUUGUCCAAGGUCACAUCAUUAAUAAAUAAGUAAUAGAGUCUGAGUAGUCUGACUCCAAAGUCCACCUUGAAAAUUUUUAAAAUUGAGUGAGGGACAGACAUCAAAACGUUGUUUUUGUUGGAAGAACUUUUCUUCUUGGUGUUCCUCAGUAGUGUACAUAGGGGAAAUUAGGAUCAAUAAGCAAUCACCUACUUGUAGGGAGACCUUUAGCCCUCAUAUUGCAGGAUAUCUGUACAAAAGCCUUUCCUCUUUUCUCUAACCCAAUUCACAGGUGGCCAGGAUUUUUUUCUGCUUGCACCUUCCAGUGCUCCAUUAAUUUUCCAGGGGCAGCCUGUCUGUAUCUCUCUCCUUCAUGCGCGUAAUCCUCAUUCUGCCCUUUAUAAAUAAUAGAGAUAUUCUCUCCUCUUCAGAAUAGAGUCUCUGACCUUUUGCACUUUCAUUCUUCUGAUCCGAUACAUCUGGGCAAUGUAUGACUCUGCCUGGGUUUCCUCUUUUCUUUAACAAGGCAAUUUAAAAAUAUUUACACACAGAAAGAGUGUUUCACAUGUGUCAGAGAGCCCAGCUCCUGCUGUGGUGCUGGCUACAGAGAAAUUGUUUUAAUUUUGCUCAAUUCCAGACUCCUCCAGUGAAUUGGGGCGAUAUAUUUAUUUUUCUUGUUUCUCUUUCCCUUGUUCCAAAACAAUGGAGUUGAACCACUUGGUGCCAUGAGAAGGGGCUGAAGAAAAGGAAGGCAGUGUCCAAGGUUUGUGCAUACUUAUAUAUACAUGAUGUCUCUUAGUCUUGCUGUUGUCCAGAUUGAUCUCAAAUUUCUGGCCUCAAGUGAUCCUCCUACCUCGACCUCCCAAAGCAGUGGGAUUAUAGGUGUGAGCAACCAUGCCUGGCCAGAAUUCUAAUUUUUUAUUCACAUGGCUAUGCAAUUGCUUAAAGUUCUGCUGGCCUCAUUUUCUCUUGGCUGUCACCUUCUGCCCAGCUUCUAAUAUUGUGCUCACCUUAGUUAGUUUCCCUUCUUUCUGUUAUUCGCUUUUCAAGUCUUGACUGCCCGGACAAUUAGCCAAGACUUUAAAACAUACGAUUUUUCUAUUUUAGCUGGAUGUUUUAAGCUGUUCCCAUCAGGAGCAUUUGUCUGCAACAAGUUGUUCAUUUAUAACCAGUCUUAAGAUUGGUUUUCCCACAACUUUUUUUGAUAUAGUGGCAUUGCCACUGGCCUUGUUUCAGCCCAGUAUAUAAAAUUCACCUGGUUUCUUGCUCUUCUUUUCCUACAAAUAACUACUUUUCUUGCAUAGGGAGCAGAAGAAGAAGCAGAAAUGCUGCACUAAGAGAGAUUUAAGGCCUAGAUUUCAUUUUCCAUAUGCCAGCUUUGUUAUAUUUCUCCGAGCUUCAGAUCCUGUUUUCUAAACUGUGAUCAGCGUAAGUGUGGCUAACAGUGAUUGGAAUGGAUUUAAAGCGUCAAUUCCAAAGUAGAGAUUAUGAGUCAACUUUUUUUGCAGGGGGCUAUCCUCUGUCAGAGUUAUAUCAACUUAUAAUUUUCCUGUAGUCUCAAUACCACUAAGCCAUCUCUACUAAUAGAGAUAAGAGAAAGAACCUGCAUUAUUUAUCAGUAUGCAUCUCACAUUGAAAACCUAACCUUACCAACAUUGCCUGGGAAUGCUAAUGUCUUCUGUGCCAUGGGAGAGCACAACAGGGCACUGUGUAAGCACUGUGUAAGAAGAUGUGGUGAAGAGUGACCACCUAUGAACACAUUCCCAGUGGACAGACCUUUUCAAGUUCUCCUCUUGACGUUGGCUUGCUUUGGGGAUGACUGUCUGGUGUUCCUGCCCUUGCUAUGGUGAAAACAGAGCACAAGGAAAGCCACGGAAGGCAAACAGGGAAUGCAACCUUAGAUCAAUCCUUCCCAAACUGUCACUGAGACACAGAAGCCACAGAGACACACUCACACGUUAUGACACUUGAAGAAUUAUGUAGGUUAUUGCUGACACCAUGUAAGCACCCUCUAAAAUAACCCAGAAAAAAUGCUCUGAGAAGACCUGAAUUACAAGUGUGUGGAAUACCUCCAUCUUCUGCUUAACUGAUGUGAACCACAGGGAAGGGAUAAUUGUGGAAAUGAAACAGGAAACAAGCAAAACCAUUUAUAACACAUGAAAAUGAGUAAGCAAGCAAGUUGGCAUGCAUGAGAUAUAGAAAAAAGAGCGAAUUUGUAUCUAGUGCUUCCAGUGAAUUGUUCAAGAACACUUCAUCCUUGGAGAAGAAUUUCCUCUAAUUCUGUCAAGGGUGGUGUCUGCAUGGGUUACGUGCCAAGUAAUUGCCUGGUCACAAGCUAACAGUGUCAAGAGGCUAUUUUAAAGAUGAAUGGGAACACAAAACAUAUUUUGUCCUAUUCACCACUUUGAAUAUAUCUCAGGAACAAAACUUGCACCUGAAAUGAAAUGGAGAAAUGCGAUUUUUAUGAGUUACUGGCUUUUUCCCCCCUUCACACCACUGACAGAACAAAAACAUUUAGAGGAAGACAGCCCAAUGUCAUGUAAGUAUUUGUAUAUUUGUUCUCACCAUGGUACACAAGGGACAUAUCGAACCCUUUCCCUGACUAAAAACAGGACAUUAUUUAAGCUCUGCCAUCACACUCCAAUGCUUUUCAAUAGCUAGAAGAAUUCUGCAUUCCUUCCCAUAGGAACUGUAAGCUCAAAAAGAAAAAUUCUUCUGCAACACACUCUAUCAAUAACUUGUAUUCAUUUUGCUUUCUGAAAUAGUUACUUUUUAAAAUGUAUAUGCUAAGAAAAAGUGAAAGAAGAAAAAAGAGGCCCUCCAUCUAUGAAUUGUGCUCUUUUUUUAUUCAUAUGAUUUCCAAGACCAAGCAAAUUAUCAUAAUCUUCCUAACAGAGAUACACAAUUCCACCUAAGAAUUACCAUUUACUUAAACCAGUGAAAAGCAGUUUCUAUUAGAUGCUGAGACAAGUCAUCUGUAUGUGUUCAUAUGUGCUCCCUAGAAAUUAUUUUUGAAUUUCAAGGUUAUAAAUAAUUCCCAAACUCAAGUUCAUGCUGAUAUUCUAAUAUGGGUUAUUUGUUCUCCUCUGCUGGUGUCAUUUCUUUUGAUUUAAUCAUUAUCCCUUACAGGCUGGCACUGGUCUAUUCAGUAUACUGACAGGACCAAGCCAUCAUCCCACCUAAGAAUAUCAAUUAUGCUUUCAAAGCAUACAAUUUGAUUCAUGCAGAAGCUACUGUAUAUGCAUCAUGGUGUUUUCAUAAAGACUCCCUUAUUUACUCUAAACAGUGUUAUGCCUUUUACCAUAAGAUUCUGUAGUAACUGUUUAACCUUUCUAAAUCUUUUCAAGAAAUCUUAAAAGAAAGGAAAGCUUGCCCUCAAGAAUACACUUUCUGUUCUUAUAAAAAUCAGCUCCUCUAUAAAUAGCUGCAGUGAGGCAAAGCUUCAAAGCUUCAGCCUAAAAUGCCAUGAGUACUGUCCUGUAGAGACAGCUUUCAACCAUGUCUGAGUCGGCACAAAAAAGGAACUUCCUGCCAGCUGAAUGUGUGUCUCCCAACUUUCUCUCCUCAUGCAUAUCUAAAAAGGAUACUGAGCUAGAAUUGCUAGUAGUUUUCCUAUUUAAGGCCUGUAUGGAAGUCGUUCCCACAGUAGAAGCUGGAAACACACACACAGCCCACUCCUUCACUCACUCAUAACCUAGCAGGACCAGCUCCGGGCCCGCUCAGCUCCCUGUGCUGCCUGAUUUCUCAUUUCUCGAAGCACACAGAGGCUGGAAUGAGCCCACCAUCUGCCCCAACCACCAGAAACAAAAACAUGCCUUUUUCUAUCCCUGUGUGUGCAGGCAACGUCCACCCAUGCUGCUCAAGCCCUUUGAUCCUACAGACCAAGCCACCACAUCCUCUUCAUACCCCCUCAUGCACCCAUGAACACAAGCACGCACACACACACACACACACACGCACAAACACACAUGCCCACACAAUGCUCACAGUGAUGUCAGGAGUGGUUACCCUUCCUUCCAUAUGCCUAUGUACCAUAUGACAGAGACAGCAACAAGGAAAAACAUUACUUCGCCUCCCCAAACCAAUCCUAAUGUCUUUCUUCAGUGAAAAUGGUUCAUCUGCACUGGGGUCCUCCAUGUAAGAGCCAGAAGUUCUGGGCUUCUCCAGAUAUGUGCACAUCGAGAAAUAAUGAGCACAACUGUAUGGUAGUGAAGACAAACAAUUGCAGUACAGUUGAAAACUGCUCUGUGUGAACUGAUUACCCACAGAGUACCAUGCUCUGCCAGGGUCGGUGUGGUAGAGGGCCAUCUCCUCCCGUGCCAUUCUUCUAGGAUCAGCUAUGUCAGCUCUUGUUAAAAACUCCUCACCAAAAAGAAUCAAAAACAGAAACCAAGAUAGCACUUGAGAGAAGAUGGAGGAGAUGUUCAUUCCUGUACCCAUCUCUGGAGGGCCACAUGUUUGGAGACUACAGUACAGUUUGCCUCUAUCUGCUUACUAUAAUCCUGAGGAUGGAUUUUGAAGCAUAGUUAAAUGGUGUUGGCCAUUUCCCCUCACUUUAAUUAUUCAAAAUAAACAAACAAAUAAAAUGCCUU